rnacentral:rRNA from 1 species
UGGGGAAUAUUGCACAAUGGGCGAAAGCCUGAUGCAGCAACGCCGCGUGAGUGAUGAAGGCCUUCGGGUUGUAAAGCUCUGUCUUCUGGGACGAUAAUGACGGUACCAGAGGAGGAAGCCACGGCUAACUACGUGCCAGCAGCCGCGGUAAUACGUAGGUGGCAAGCGUUGUCCGGAUUUACUGGGCGUAAAGGAUGCGUAGGCGGAUACUUAAGUCAGAUGUGAAAAUCCCGGGCUUAACCUGGGAACUGCAUUUGAAACUGGGUAUCUAGAGUGCGGGAGAGGAAAGUGGAAUUCCGAGUGUAGCGGUGAAAUGCGUAGAGAUUAGGAAGAACACCAGUGGCGAAGGCGACUUUCUGGACCGUAACUGACGCUGAGGCAUGAAAGCGUGGGGAGCAAACA